GGGGCAGCUAUACUUCCUGUGGGACGAAUGAGCACUAGGAAGGUAGGAGUGCAUGCUACACCAAAGCGUCAAAGAGGCUGGCCUGCGGCAAAAAUGGCUGUGGGGAAGGGGCUGACCGCGUGUCUCGCGAGAGCUUCCUGUGCGCAUGCGCGGCAUCGGCAACUUCGACUCCCUUUAGUCAGGGAGGUAGCGGCGGGGCCACGUUGCAGUCUGGGGCCAUGCCGUCCAGUAAAGGAAGAGGCCGGGCACGUAGGCUGAAAAAACAGGGAGUGAAGGUGACAUACCAAAAGCAGAAACAUUCUGAACCAAAGGAAGUUGUGGCGAAUCGGCCGUCUGUUGCCCAGGCUACCAUGGCAGGCAGGCGUCACCAGGAAAGAAGGUCAACCGCGCUACGCGAACUUGCGGCCAGGCUUCACUCCGUGCUCAAGAUGUGGGUUUUCCGGUUCUUUCUGAUAAGCAUCCUGUUCGUUUGGGGGGUGCUGCUGUUCAACUGCUUUAAGUUUGGGCUCUCAGAAUCCGUGCCUCUAAAUGAAGAUAACCUGCGAAACAGUGAAGUCAGUGACAAGUCUCUGGAAGAAACAUCCAUUUGGGAAGUUCUGAGUGAUUUUUUCUUACCAACAACCUGCAUGGUAAAGGAGAAUCAAGAAGUAACACCUUGCAAUGAGAUGCUAAACCAUACUGAGCUCCAGUGUUUGAAAUCCAAAUGCUGUUUUUCAACAUCUGCGACCAGGAAUUGCUUUAUGCCAUUUAUAGAUAAAUCUACACAGGUGUCACGCAUAUUUGGAUUUAGUGUACUCACCUUGAUCUUCCUGGGAUGCAUGCCCCUUUGCUGCUACUGUCUUUUCCAGAGAAGGUGGGCAAACACGAACUUUUACUUGUUAAUUUCUGAGUAUAUGUAGAUAUUUGUAUGU
rnacentral:lncRNA from 1 species